CCGAGUUUACAAACUCCCAAACCCCUGUGAACAUACCGUAUCGUUGCCUUCGGCGGGAUCAGCCCCGGCGCCCUCGGCCGGAACAAGGGACGCCCGCCCGAGGACCCCUAAACCUCAUGUCUUUAGUGGUACUCUCUGAGUGACACAUAAACAAAUAAAUCA
rnacentral:misc_RNA from 1 species